rnacentral:rRNA from 1 species
UACGUAGGGUGCAAGCGUUGUCCGGAAUUAUUGGGCGUAAAGAGCUCGUAGGCGGUUUGUCGCGUCUGGUGUGAAAAUCCGGGGCUUAACCCUGGACCUGCAUCGGGUACGGGCAGACUAGAGUGCGGUAGGGGAGAUCGGAAUUCCUGGUGUAGCGGUGAAAUGCGCAGAUAUCAGGAGGAACACCGGUGGCGAAGGCGGAUCUCUGGGCCGUAACUGACGCUGAGGAGCGAAAGCAUGGGGAGCGAACAGG